CGCUGGCGGCUGCUUACACAUGCAGUCGAACGGCAGCACAGUAGAGCUUGCUCUAUGGGUGGCGAGUGGCGGACGGGUGAGUAAUGCAUCGGGACCUACCCAGACGUGGGGGAUAACGUAGGGAAACUUACGCUAAUACCGCAUACGUCCUACGGGAGAAAGCGGGGGAUCGCAAGACCUCGCGCGGUUGGAUGGACCGAUAUGCGAUUAGCUAGUUGGUGAGGUAACGGCUCACCAAGGCGACGAUCGCUAGCUGGUCUGAGAGGAUGAUCAGCCACACUGGGACUGAGACACGGCCCAGACUCCUACGGGAGGCAGCAGUUGGGGAAUAUUGGACAAUGGGCGCAAGCCUGAUCCAGCAAUGCCGCGUGUGUGAAGAAGGCCCUCGGGUUGUAAAAGCACUUUUAUCAGGAGGCGAAAUCUGCAAGGUUAAUACCUUUGCAGUCUGACGGUACCUUGAGGAAUAAGCACCCGGCUAACUCCGUGCCAGCAGCCGCGGUAAUACGGAGGGUGCAAGGCCGUUAAUCGGAAUUACUGGGCGUAAAGCGUGCAGUAGGCCGGUUCGUUAAGUCUGCUGUGAAA
rnacentral:rRNA from 1 species